UUUCGAGCAAGAAUUUGACAUUGUUUUUUCUAUAUAGAAGGCCUAAAUAUUUUAUGUAGUUAAUAUGGACCUCAAGCCAAUAAGCUUAUAUGGGCUUAAAUCCUCUGAGCAGACCUUGAAUUGAAAGAUGUUAUUUUAUUUUAUUUUAUUUUAAUUUUUGCAAACGGUUACAGUACAAUUAAAUAGAUGAAAGAAACAAAUUAUUAUCUUGUUGUUUCUGUCGCUAUGGCAACCCGGAUCGAAGCUGCUGAUGCCGUUUCUAGCCCGGAUAUGGAAACUACGUAAUGAAUGACUCAUGAUAACGUUUGUGGUAAAAACAAAAACAAAAACAGAAGAAGAAGAAGAAGAAGAAGAAGAUAAAGAAGAUAAAGAAGAUAACGAUAUCAGCGUAUUGUGCUUUCGUCCUCUCAAGAGCAAAAUCAUACUCCAACUAUGAGAAGUGGACUACGGUGAAAUAUCUGAUUGCGUGUCGUCCUGCAGGCAGAAUCACCUUCUUGUCCCAUGCCUGGGGGUGCAGGUGCCUGGGGGGGCAGGGCAUCACAUGUUAAGAUAACAAAGGAAUCGGGCUUCAUUUCACCUGCUACCACAACAUGGGGACCAGAUUUUGGCUGAUCGGGGCUUUACCCUGAAAGAUGACUUUUCCGUGCUAGGUGUCAGUCUCAUAACCCCAGCCUUCACUCGUGGCAAGAAGCAGCUCACAGGCAAAGACGAUGAAGAAUCCAAAAUUAAAUCAAAAAUUCGGAUUCAUGUUGGCAAAACGGGUGAUAGGUGUGCUGAAGCGGAGAUUCCCCAUCCUGGAUGGGCCACUCCCUCGCUGCUUCGUCAAGACCCUGUGGGAUGAGGUGAAGGAAAGGGAUAAGGUUUCCAUAAACAAGAUAGUACAUGUCUGUGCUGCCUUGGUCAACCUGUCAGGUAGCGUUGUGUUCAAUAAAAGCAGAGAGGGGGAUGUGUUGGUCAAAAUACUCUGACAGUCUUACUCUAUUCUGUGUUAAAAUGAGUCACGUAGCAACUUUCCAUUUCCACAAUCUACCUUACUGCACUGCGCUUCCCCCUGAGCUGACAGUAGAGGUCUCCUGUAAAUAUAAAUAAACUGUGUCUUAUGAAUCUUCUUGACAUAAACCUAAUUGUCAUUUCUAUUAUACAUUUUCAUUUUAACAUCAUUUCAAAUCUAAUUUGAUGUUUAAGAAAGUAUAGAACCCUGAAUAUAGUAAAUGAAUUUUCCACAUAACUGUUAAGCAGUGUUUUGAACAUUCAGUAGCCAUUUGGUGCCCAAAUAUUAAUUCUGGACCCUGUAAUGGAGUGUUUUAUAUAUUUUGUGUUUUUACCUGAAGCUCCUGUUCUGAAGCACUGUCUGUGGACUCCUGAU